UUCAUAUUAGUUUACAUAAUUAAAAUCCAAAAUUCAAAAUUCAAAAUUUUAAAAUGGAUUUCGAUAUAGGUGCACCUGCAAAAUUUCAUUACCCUCUCGACAUGCAUCAGAAUGUACCGUCAGAGUUAGUCUUACUCGCGUUUUUCGUCCUGUUCUUCUGUUCUUUAGCAUUAAUCCUCUUCUUCGUGAAACUCUGGUAUACGCGCCGAAAUGAACGCAGGCGUUUACCGUUUCUCUUAAAUCAUCACAUUUUCCAGAAUUUGCAUCAGCGACACAGCACUUUUGGUGCUCAAACGUUAACAACUGAUCCAUAUCCAGUUUAUAGAUUUAAUGAAUAUGCAAGUACCGUGCUUGACGAAGAACCUUCCAUAGAAGAGCAUGAAAUUACAUACAACUUAGGCACUGAUAUAUCUAUCAAAACUACUUCUGAAGAUGAAAUAUCUCCUUUGGACAUGGCAUACGGUGAAUUAGAGGACAUUGCUAUUAUGAAUGAUGAAAAUAGUUUGAUACCCGAUGAAACGUUAACAGAGAAAGACAACAUUCAUACAUCAAGCGAAGAAGCAACAUCUUGUUGACGACAUGGAAUCUGUUUGGAAGUGCCUUAAAAUGGUGGUAAAAAAGGCACUCAAUAGGAAGUGUGUUCAAUGGCAGUUAGUAAUUCAUAUAUAAAUGAGAAAUCAUUCACAUAGAUGAAAUUCACAUAGACGAUCGAUUUUUUAAAAAAAAAAAUAAGAUUUAAUAGAUUUAAUAAGGUUAAUAGAUAAGAAGAAAUACCAUGUUAGGCAUACAUGGACGAGAACGUAUGAGGAGGGUACAGUUUUCGCUAUUUUCUUCUUAGGAAUGGAAGAAGUUUAUUUCAAGUUUUGCAACAUCCACACAUGGAUUUCUAAAAAUGUCAAACUCAAUAUUUUCAAUAAAAAAAAAUAGGUUGAUGAAAAAAGAAUGAAUACCGUAUUAGUCUAUCAUAUUAUGCAUUGUGGAGAUUUACGAAGAGAGUACAACUUUCGCUAUGACUUACAUUAAAAUGGAUGACUUUUGAAUACUGUCAACUACUACCAAAUGCAACAUAAAAUAUCGAAAUCCUCGCUUAAGAAAAAUUUACUUUACAUAGUCAAUAAGCAAAACAUAGGAUGUAGUUCUCGCUUGCAUUGUUUCUUAAAAGAAGAAAAGAAGAGAGGACAGCCAAAAGGACAGAGAGAACAAAGAUAACAAGAGAACAAAGAGAACAAAGAGAACAAAGAUAACAAGAGAACAAAGAGAACAAAGAGAACAAAGAGAACAAGAGAACAGCUGAAACAAAGAUAAGAAAAAGAACAGCAAGGAGAAAAAAGACAACAGCGAAUAUGACAGCAGGUAGGACAGUGAGAACAGCAAAAAAUACUUGGGAAUCAAUAAAACGACAAUAUCAAAAGAGUAAACCAGUACAUUUGUUUAUGAGUAUAUUAAAAGAAAUUACAUAGACCUGAAAUAUCACACCUUAAGAGAAAUUCACUUCACAUUGUCAGCGUGCAAAACGUCAGACGCAGUUCUUACUCUCAAAAGAGGAGUAUAGGACGAGGACAGAUGUAACAGCAGAAAACUAGCAAUGAGGACAAAAAGGCGUUUGAAAGGCUGGAGAGGACAGCAAUGAGGACAAGGAGGACAAAAAGUACAAAGAAAAAGAGCAAAUAGAACAGUAGAUAGGACAGUGAGAAUUGCGUCAGCGACAUGGAGGCCAGCAAAAUGGGCAAAGAGUACAGCUGACAAAAGAAAAGUAAAAUAACUUUGACUUACUUGGCAUUAUUUAAAUACUUAAUUAUGUAUAUACAUAUCCAUUCAUACAAAAAGGCGUUAUUUCUUCUCUAAGAACCCACAUUUUGUAUCGCAAAUAAUCUUAAAAUGAUCAUCAAGUGAAUUCAAGGGUAUCAGCCUAAACCGUUGUACAUUGAAAUCGAUGCAGAAUUGGAAUUGAAGGACUUUAUCAACAUCAAAUCUCAUUGUCAGGAACAUCGAAAUAUCGAAUCCAUUUUAUGAAUGUAAAUAGUUUGGGUAAUUUUUGACAAUAAAAUCUAUAGAAAAACACAUA